rnacentral:lncRNA from 1 species
AUAUUUUAACAUUAUAGAAAAUAUUUUAUAUACCAAAGAAUAGGAGAACAUAGCACUUUUACUUUUUACUUUCCAAGGGCAGGAAUGAAAUUUUUCACAGAAAAAGUUAAUUCUCAGUAGGAGAAUUUUGUGCUUUUGCCUUAACAUCCAUGUCUUGUGUUUUUCAAUUUUUCUUCAAAAAAAUUUAGAAAGCCAUCAGAAAUAGCAAAAUCUAAGUUCUUAUGUGUGGGCAUUAACAAAGGAGCACUAAGCUCCUAAGGAACAAUAACUAUAAUACAUGUUAGACACAUCCCCCUGGACAUCAUAAAGGUAACCCCAUUAAUAAUUUACAGGUUCUUAUCCCUCUGGAAAGAUCAAAAUGCAGAGUGUCUGUGAGUGUCAGGUGACUGAGUCCAUAUAAGUAGAGACAGUCCUUUCUGGUUGUUGUAAUAUCCUAAGCACAUUACCCAGAAAAGAGCACAAUGUAUGUGCUAAAUAAAUAACCAUUGAAUAUGUGAGAGAGUGAUGCUAGAGCUACAGGAGUUUAAUCUAGUAACAGAGGUAACAGACAUGGCACUAGAAUAUUUGUGGGUUUUUUUUAUAUAGUGUGUGACAUUUCCUUAUUUUAAUUUUUAAGACUCUAAAUACAUCAUUUCUCCCUUCCCUUUUUCCCCUCCAGACCCUCCUAUAUACCCUCCUCAUUCUCUUUCAUAUUCAUCACUUCUAUUUUCAUUGUUGUUACAUGCAUAUAUGUACAUGUAUAUAUACAUAUAUUUCUAAAUAUAACCUAUUCAAUCUGAAUAAUGGUAUGCAUAUGCAUGUUUUCAGGAUUGUAUAUUUAGUAUUAAAUAACCAACUGGUAUACUUUUUGCUGAAGAAGACUGUUUCUCCCAUUCUCUAAAAGAUGUAUCACAGGCUGAUGAGAUGGAUCAGCUAAUAAAGGUACUUGCUGCCAAACCUGAAACCUGUCUUUAAUCCCCAGGACCCAUGUGGUAAAAGGAGAGAAGGAAUUUCCUCAAGUUUUCCUCUGACCUCCAUUCACAUACUGUAACAUUUAGGAACACAUGCGCACAUGCAUGCUCCAACAACUCCCGCCCUACACACACAAUAAAUAAAUAAAUAAAUAAAUAAAUAAAUAAAUAAAUAAAUGCAUGUAAUACAAAAUGAAAACUUUUUGAAAACAUGUGUCAUUUAUUCAAUGAUUUGAAUAGAAUUAUUUCCCUUCUAUGUUGUUUGUGGUCAUAUCUGCUUGAUUCAUGACUGUGUUCCUAUUUUCUUAAACCGGGCUUAGCACAAAGCAAAGACCCAAAUGUAUUUGAGACAAGACUGGUGGUUUGGCAGCAAGGCAUAAUGUGUGAAAAAUCUUAAGAGAUACAAAAGACCAAAGGAGCUAAAGGAGGCAUGAGAAACAUCUGGUUCAAAGGAAUCUACAGUUUAAAGAAGAGAACAGACCCUUGAGCCUAGUUUCAGGGAAUAGACAGGGGUCAUUAAAGCCUACAAGGAAACAGCAAAGUUGACUUUUCAGGCCAAGGGAUUGAAUAAUUGGCAGCAUUAACUGUGCUUCUGUGGGGUCCUAUGAGUUGGCACCUUUGAAAAAGUUAGUUCUAUUUUAAGAAAAGUUUAAUUUCAGGGACCAGCAGCUGGUACCUUAAGUGCCAGAGGCAGGCAUUGUUUCAUAGUAAAUGAUAGUGAAACCACUUAAUUGUAUAUUUACAAACACAUGUUGUUUCAUGGAAACUCCUUGAUAAUUAUACAGUUACAAGCGUUAGUGCAACCAAGUUAUCUCUUGAUAGUUGAGUAAUUAACUUGUCAGCUCAGCCAAGAGGGCUGAAGUGAAGGAGUCUGGAACACGGACUUCUUUUCUUAUAGAUGACUGCAUUCAGCCAGCACUUUCCAAUCAUGGGGUCACCAUCUUCUUGGUGUCUUGAUUUUCAAUGUCAAGAUUGGGACUCUCCCUACUUCCCUAAAUUCUCUAAGCCUCUUCGUGUCUCUAUUGCCUUUUAACACCUCAGUCCUUGUGGAAAUUUUUUUAUUGUUUACUUUAUAUAUAAUUUAUGUCAUUUAAUUUAAUGUGCUAACAACCCUGUGAAAUGUGUAGUAUGCUAUCAUUAUUUCACAUUUGGAAAUAUGUUUAUGAAUAUAAAAUAUUUUCCCCAAGUCCGCAUUUCCAGUAAGCAGCAUGGCUGAAUAACCCAUACUGUAUAGACAAUAAGGGUUACCUAUCUGGUAGGGCUGAAUGCCUUGAGAACUAUAGUCCUCUCUGGCAGUCUGCAGAAAUAAAAGGCAAAUGAUCUUUAUGAAUUUGAGCAAGUUAAACUCUAUUGUCAGCUUAUGGAAAGUUUUAAAAAAUUACACUUUUUUAUUUGCUUAUUUGUAUUUUGUGUACAUGCCAUGACACACACACACAUGGAGGUCAGAGGACAACUUGCAAAUGUCACUUUUUAAGUGGGCAUAGCUGUACUAUCAAAGAUGGCGGUUGUUUUGCUCAGAGGAUAGUCAUGUACAGUAGACCUCAGAGAAACUUCUACUUAAAAAUUUUAACAUACCUGGAUAUGGUUGAAAUUAAAGUAAAUAUCUUUGGUUUUAAUUAUCAAAAUUAAAAUAUAAAUGAAUUAACUAGAUAACUGGCCUAAUUUCAAAGUACAUUGAAAUUAGUGGAUUUGCUAAGUAUCUCCCCCCAAAAGUGAAAUGACAGAUAUAAGCUUGUUUGUUUAUAAUUUUACAAAAUGAAUGCCCACACUAAACUCUGAGUCAAAAUAUGCAGAGCCUGUAUGUGUAAAAUACAGAUGUUGGGAGUCAAGGCUCAUACAUUUUCAUGUCACACUCCCUCCUAUCCAGUUACAAAAUCUCCAUUCAUCUAGCUCUUUGCAUGAUAGUCAAAUGAGGAGACACAAAUAAAAUAGUUGGGGACAAUGUCGAUCACUUCAAGAAAAGAUGGUGUUGUAUGAGCUGAGACAGAUUGAAUGACACCCUCGUUAAUGACAGUAAAAGAUGCCAGUGCUUUUGAAACUCAAGACUUCUGACCUCCACCAUGGUUUUAGCAGCACUUCCUUGCCUCCUUACCCCAAACCAAGCUACAUGGUGCCAUCAAAACUAGCUAUCCAGGGUUAAAUUGCUUUUCUGUUAUUAUUAGUUAAUCUAUGGCAAUAAAAUAUUAUGUCAGAGAAGAAUACGAAUGUUAUAAGCUCUUCGUGUGCUAUUGUCAUUUCUCUGGUUUACCAUCAUAAGAACAUAGUAAGACCCUACUGAAGACAACACUCCCUUUGGAUGCAGGACAAUAAGAAAUCAGACUUGAACUGACCAUAAAAUUCCUCCCAGCUGUCUUUCACAGUGCCAGAAGGUGGAGUGGUGGAGAGAAAAUGUUAGUGGUCUUAUCCAGCACUGGACCAUGCAUAGUACAAUACUGACCAACCAGACAAUAUGUGCCCAUUGGUGAAAUAGUGACAUGAAUGUUAUGUGCUGCCUUCUGAUUGGAGUUGGAAAAAAAAAAAGCCUGAUCCACAAAAGCGAUCACAUAUUUGGAAUUAAAAAUAAGGUCCCAAGCCCUUGGUUAAAGAGGCCAUAGGCUCUGGAGUGAAGCCUGGUAUUGCUAUUUUGCUUAUCAGUCAUCUUUACAAAUUGCCUUAUAAUUAUGCUUAUAUUCAGAGACUUGGUUUGCUCUCAACCUUGGUCGAAGAACUUUGUUUUAACAGCAGGUAGACAUCGGUCAAUGCAGGUUCCCAAGUAUUCAGAUUCCCAAUAAUAAAUCAAUGUUAAUUUAGCUCAACUCUAAAUGGUACACCGUUAACAAUGCCCAUGCCCUCCCCCAAACUCAAGAAACAGCAUGGAAGAGGAUGCCAAAAGAAUGUAAGAGCUGGAGAAUGGGGUGCGUACUGUGAAACUCUCUUUUGGAUGCUAUUCCUUGAACCCACUGUAGCUGUGGUUACAUCAACAAACACAGUCUAAGAUAAAACCAGCCAAAGUCCCAGCAUAAAUGACAGUUGAUAUAUAAUAGGGGAGGGAGAAUAAUUCUUUAAGAGUACAACCACAAGAUAUUAUACAUAGUCUAGUCUAGUGGAUGGCUCCACAUCCAUGUACAUAAAGACAGAACUAAUUGUAUGCACUGAGUUUUUUAUUUUUUUAAGGAAGACAUAAAGUUGAGAGGAAGAUGUGUUUGGAGGGAUCCAAGAGGAACUGGAAGAGAUAAAAAGGAGAUAUAUGAUUAUAUUAAUAUUUAGUCAAAUACUCUUUGCAUACUUUUUAUUGUAUUAUAACUGCUUUUAUUUUUAAAUAAUAUUUGUAUCUUUUGAACAUUUUAUACAUAAGUUUAUACCAUGUAUAUAGAUUGUAUAUAUCCACCACUAUCUUUAACUGAUUCCUCCUAUGGUCUCACAACUUAUCUCCCUCACAACUUUGUCUUUUUUAUCAUUAUUAUAAAACACUGUGUCCAACUAGUGCAUUUAUGUGCAUGAAUAUACAGCAAUACCUUAGUAUAAGCAAACGACUAGCAGCCAUAUCCACAAAGGAAGUAACUCUGCCUUCCAUAGUACAAAUAGUUCUUCCACUUGUGGUUAGGCCUCAGGUUUCCAUCCCUUGUCCAUGCAGAAUUCUAACUGGUUUUAUCUCUUGCAGGUUUUGUGUUGGCCACCCUAGCUGCUGGGAGCUGAUGUGUUCAACAGCCAUGUCCCAUUCAGAAGUCUGCAUUUUACAGAUCUUCUCCCCAUCUGAUGACUUUUACAUUGUUUCUGCUUCCUCUUCUGCAAAGUUCCCUGAGAUUUAGAAUGAGGGAAGUUGAUAUAGGUUGACAUAGAUACACAGCUGGGCACUCAUUUUUUUUACACUCAGCACUUUGAACAGUUAGGGAGCUCUGUGUUAACCACUUUCCACUGCAAAAGAAGCUUCCCUGACCACGUCUGAAGUCUAUGAUCCACUCUUUGGGGCUUUUGACAAGGUUUACAAUACCAGACCUAAGAUCCCUCCCGUGAAACCAGCUUUAUAUCUAAUGUAAUCAAGAAGCAGUUGAUUACCUCCCUGUCCUGCCACUUUGACACCAGUGUUUACAUCUUGACAGCAUGUAAGUGCUAUAGCAUGCAGGAUCCAGAGAUGGGUAAACCACUGAUGUUUUUUAUCCGCAGUAGCCUUCAUUGUAUCUUCUGGCACUCUGUAAUCCCUGUUCUACUGUGUUGUGCAAGAGUUGAAAUGAGCGCAAAUGUGCUUCUUCAACCCUGCACAGGAAGACUUAGUGACAAGGUGAGAAUAGUCCACCACAGGAAGUAGUUAGUCAUGUGAAUCCCUCUGCUGCUCCACCAGCUGGACAGGAGCCAUGAAGGAAGCAAUGGACAUAGAAACAAUCAGGAUAGAUGGCCAACAAUCUGGCAACACAAAUUUGAUGAGAAAGAAGAGAAGCAGAGGAUAAGGCAGAGGAAAAAGAGGAAGACUCUUCAACGUUGGGUUGGAAUAAAUGGGGCAUCGAGAGGGUGGCUACAGUGAGACUUUGGGGAGAUGUAGUAAGUUCAAAAC